UGGCUCAGAUGGUAAAGAAUCUGCCUGGAAUGCAGAAGACCCAGGUUCAAUCCCUGG
rnacentral:tRNA from 1 species